GCGAGAGUGGCGGAACUGGUAGACGCGCUGGAUUUAGGAUCCAGUGAUGGAGACAUCAUGGGGGUUCGAGUCCCCCCUCUCGCA
rnacentral:tRNA from 1 species